AGAGUUUGAUCAUGGCUCAGAGCGAACGCUGGCGGCAUGGAUUAGGCAUGCAAGUCGUACGAGAAAGGGGCUUCGGCUCCGAGUAAAGUGGCGAAAGGGUGAGUAACGCAUGGAUAACCUGCCCUCGAGAUGGGGAUAACAGCCCGAAAGGGCCGCUAAUACCCAAUGUGGCGGACAGAUCGCAUGGUCAGUCCGUUGAAGGAGGGGAUCGCAAGACCUUCCGCUCGAGGAGGGGUCCAUGUCCUAUUAGCUAGUUGGCGGGGUAACGGCCCACCAAGGCUUCGAUGGGUAGGCGGCCUGAGAGGGUGGUCGCCCACACUGGGACUGCGACACUGCCCAGACUCCUACGGGAGGCUGCAGUCGAGAAUCAUUCCCAAUGGACGAAAGUCUGAGGAUGCGAUGCCGCGUGGAGGACGAAGGCCUUCUGGGUUGUAAACUCCAGUCUCGCGUGAAGAAAUGCAUCUGCGACAACAUCAAAGGUGCUUGACGUUAGCGCGACAGAAGCUCCGGCUAACUACGUGCCAGCAGCCGCGGUAAUACGUAGGGAGCGAGCGUUGCUCGGAAUCACUGGGCAUAAAGCGCACGUAGGCGGUUCGGCAAGUCGGGUGUGAAAUCCCCUGGCUCAACCAGGGAAUUGCAUUCGAUACUACCGGGCUCGAGGGCGGCAGAGGAGAGUGGAACUCGUGGUGGAGCGGUGAAAUGCGUAGAUAUCACGAGGAACACCGGUGGCGAAAGCGACUCUCUGGGCCGCUCCUGACGCUGAGGUGCGAAAGCCAGGGGAGCGAACGGGAUUAGAUACCCCGGUAGUCCUAGCCCUAAACGUUGGGUACUAGGUAGUAGACCAGAUAUGGGUUUACUGCCGAAGCAAAAGUGCUAAGUACCCCGCCUGGGGAGUAUGGUCGCAAGGCUGAAACUCAAAGGGAUUGACGGGGGCUCACACAAGCGGUGGAGCAUGUGGCUUAAUUCGACGCAACGCGAAGAACCUUACCCAGGCUUGAACUGCAGAUGACAUCCUACGAAAGUAGGCUUCCGCAAGGACAUCUGUAGAGGUGCUGCAUGGCUGUCGUCAGCUCGUGUCGUGAGAUGUUGGGUUAAGUCCCGCAACGAGCGCAACCCUUGUCUUCUGUUGCCAUCGGGUUAUGCCGGGCACUCUGAAGAGACUGCCGGUGACAAACCGGAGGAAGGUGGGGAUGACGUCAAGUCAGCAUGGCCUUUAUGUCUGGGGCCACACACGUGCUACAAUGGCCGGUACAAACCGUCGCGAGCCCGCAAGGGGGAGCUAAUCGGAGAAAGCCGGUCUCAGUUCGGAUUGUCGGCUGCAACUCGCCGGCAUGAAGUUGGAAUCGCUAGUAAUCGCGGAUCAGCAUACCACGGUGAAUAUGUUCCUGAGCCUUGUACACACCGCCCGUCAAGCCACGAAAGUGGGGGGCAUCCGAAGUCGCCAAGCUAACCGUAAGGAGGCAGGCGCCGAAGAUGAACUCUGCGAUUGGGAGUAAGUCGUAACAAGGUAGCC
rnacentral:rRNA from 1 species